AUGCCAAUAAUGUUGAGUGCCAGAAAAAGAAAAGUUUGGAGGGUAGAAGGGGAGGAGCAGCCGCCCCCUGCCCUCCACUCACUCCCACUCUCCCUCCCUCACUCGUCAGUCACCAUUACCUACUGGCCGGCCGGCCCGGUGACCGUCGCCCCCCUCCGCCGCCCCGAAACCAGCGGUUCGUGCAGGGAGAAGAAUCGCGGGAACCGUGGAACCGCUGAGGGGCUGCGGCUUGAUCUGCUCCAGAAUUUUCGGCCUUCGAUCUCCCCGGCAGGUUUGGUUUCAGGUAAUGGUUCUUGGAUUCUCUGA
rnacentral:rRNA from 1 species